rnacentral:rRNA from 1 species
AGCAGUCGCCGCGGUAAUACGUAGGGUGCAAGCGUUAAUCGGAAUUACUGGGCGUAAAGCGUGCGCAGGCGGUGAUGUAAGACAGUUGUGAAAUCCCCGGGCUCAACCUGGGAACUGCAUCUGUGACUGCAUCGCUGGAGUGCGGCAGAGGGGGAUGGAAUUCCGCGUGUAGCAGUGAAAUGCGUAGAUAUGCGGAGGAACACCGAUGGCGAAGGCAAUCCCCUGGGCCUGCACUGACGCUCAUGCACUAAAGCGUGGGGAGCAAACAGGAUUAGAUACCCGCGUAGUCCCUGUCUCUUAUAC